rnacentral:rRNA from 1 species
GACGAACGCUGGCGGCGUGCUUAACACAUGCAAGUCGAACGGAGCGGCGCACGGGUGAGUAACGCGUGAGUAACUGCACCCCUCUCUGGGAUAACAGUUGGAAACGGCUGCUAAUACCGGAUAGUGGGGGAUGACUCGCGUCCUAUCAGCUUGUUGGUGGGGUAGUGGCAUACCACAGCGACGACGGGUAGCCGGCCUGAGAGGGCGACCGGCCACAUUGGGCUGAGGUACGGCCCAAACUCCUAUGGGGGGCAGCAGUGGCGAAUAUGUCACAACGGGGGAAACUCUGAGGCAGCAACGCCGCGUGCGGGAUGACGGCCUUCGGGUUGUAAACCGCUUUCAGCCAUGACGCGGUAGUGGCAGAAGAAGCACCGACUAACUACGUGCCAGCAGCCGCGGUAAUAC